rnacentral:ncRNA from 1 species
AAAAGACUUAGUCCUAACCUUACCGUUAAUUCUUACCAGAAUUAUACAUGCAAGUAUCCGCAUCCCAGUGUAAAUGCCCUCAGCCCCUUACUAAGGCAAGAGGAGCGGGCAUCAGGCUCACCAUUCGUAGCCCAAAACGCCUUGCUUAGCCACACCCCCACGGGUCAUCAGCAGUAAUUAACAUUAAGCAAUAAGUGUAAACUUGACUUAAUCAUGGUAACAACAGGGCUGGUAAAUCUUGUGCCAGCCACCGCGGUCACACAAGAAGCCCAAAUUAACCGUAUACGGCGUAAAGAGUGGCCUAACAAUAUCGUCUAUAGCUGAAGUGAAAGUGCGCCUAAGCUGUCAUAAGCUCAAGGCCCAUCUAAACUCACCAUUAAUAUAACCUCAGAUUCCAAGACGACCAACUCAAUCCACGAAAGCCGGGAGACAAACUGGGAUUAGAUACCCCACUAUGCUCGGCCAUAAAUCUAGAUGCUUUCACCACCAAAGCACCCGCCAGGGAACUACGAGCACAAACGCUUAAAACCCUAAGGACUUGGCGGUGUCCCAAACCCACCUAGAGGAGCCUGUUCUAUAAUCGAUAAUCCGCGCUACACCCGACCCCUUCUCGCCCAACCAGCCUAUAUACCGCCGUCGCCAGCUCACCUCCACCUGAGAGCUCCACAGUGAGCACAAUAGCCUUACCCACUAAAAAGACAGGUCAAGGUAUAGCCAAUGAAGGGGAAGAAAUGGGCUACAUUUUCUGACCCAGAAAACCAACGAACCAAGGCCUGAAACUGGCCCUUAGAAGGCGGAUUUAGCAGUAAAACACGACCACAAUGCUUGUUUUAAGUUGGCCCUGGGACACGUACAUACCGCCCGUCACCCUCCUCACAAGCAACCCCCCCACCACAACCUAUUACCCAUUAAAGCUGAAGAUGAGGUAAGUCGUAACAAGGUAAGUGUACCGGAAGGUGCACUUAGCAUAAC